ensembl:lncRNA
GGCAAGCAAAAAGAGAAUGAAAUCCGUGCUUGUGGGGAGGGGUGGCUGUGCCAUGACAACUCUUUGUGUCUCAUUCUACUGUCCUCUCCAUCACUCAAUAUCCUUGUGUUGUGGUUGUUGUUUUUUUUUUUUAAUCUGCUUUGUAUUAGUUGAUCAGGAAUGUUCUCAAGUGUGUCCUCCAGGCCUCACUCUGAGAAGAGAAGAUUUUUUUUCGUGCAAUCCAACUUCAUCAGCUUUUCCAUAUGUGAGGGUCCCAUUUCCCAAGUUCUCUAUUCAAUGCUGAGGGUCAGAAACUUGAGUUUUGCUCAGGUUCGUUCCCCAUUUCAAACAAGCUGAAAUGCUUGUAACCGUGUGAACACAGGAACUGUUGCUUUCCAGCCCUCAAGGGUUAACCCUGAGAAAGGGCAGAUCCUAAUACAAGACCAGGGUUGGAAGUAAGACAUGACUUAUUUGGGGUAUUGGGUAUAAUAAUAAUUGCCUAAUCUAAGCACAGGCUGUCUCAUAAAAGGCAGAGCUGGUGGAAAAGUUGAGAAGAGUAGUGACAGAGGCUCAUGUUCUCAUGGAAGACUUGCCCCUUUCCCUACUGGGUUGGCCACAGGUCGGCUAUCUCCUUGCUGCCACGCAGAACAGAUGAGCUGCUUGUUGUCCCAUACAACCUCCAGGGAUGUCUUUGCUGUGAAUUAGAAGGGGUGGAAAAGCUUUUCAUCUAUGGCUUCUCAGGUUAAUGCACUAUGGCAGCAGCAAAAGUGAAAACAAAAAUGAUACGUGUACUUGCCUAUGUUACAUAAGAAUGUAUUUCUGAGUGCUUCCCCUCUGUUCCUCUGGGUUCAAGGCUUAUCACAUCCUUUGGCAAGCGCUGAGGAAUUGGAUUUUAUUUGAACUGAGAACAGUGGCUGCGUAGCAGAAUGUUGAGCAGUAAGACAGAAAAGACUUUAUCUGAUGUUCCCCCUUUUAAAGACAAACAGCUAAGUAAACUCGAGCAUCCUCUGCUGCUGGCAGACCGAGUGCUUUCCUUCAUCAUUAGUGAGUAUCUCUGCCAGUUAGUUAAAUAACUAGGUCAGCCUGGGAAGAAAACAUGUUCCUUGGUCUUCUGUGCUGUCCCUCCUGCUUUCCCAUGUGUUUCUCUUUUUAAACCAUUUCUCAGCUACCUACCUAGAUGGGAGCAAAUUCAUGCUUUCCUGAUUGACAAAAUCUCCUUCAUUGCAGCCACUGAGCUGCCCAUACCAGAGCCUCCGUGAUGGCUGGGACUUAGGAAAGUUCCUGCUCCUGUUGCAUGGAUUCAUAUUGCAAUUACCUGAUGGGGUUGAUUAUUUCCAAUCUGCAGGUGCUCUCAAUGCAGUCAUGUCACAUGCAUUUACUCUUCUGUCUACUAGCUUGGAGCCAGACUUGAAUCUAAAUGUAUGUGUGAAUGGACAGCUAAACAGCUUAUGCUCUUCCUAACUUAGCCAUUCUCUUUCAGGAUUACUUUCUAUUCCCCCCUGCUGCCAAUACCAAGAGCUUUUCCUCCUGAAAUUUUCUAAGAGCAGCAAUAAUUUGCAUUUCAGUAUUAAUACAUGGUGCUGAUUGCCCCAUCAUCCAUCAGUGCCAUACAUCUCUAGGGUAAAAGUUUGGAUUUUGUGAGCAUUUGGGUAUAAAGUUUUGGUAGUUGAGCAAGUGGAGCAUCCCUUUUGUUCCAUUCAGAAACCGGUUUCUUUUCUCACAUUUUUAUCAUUGUGACUUUCUUUAAUAAAAUUUUGGGGUUUUUUGU